AAUCUGUAAAGCGGAAGGACAAGUCGGAGCUGGAUUUGUAUCUAUGUAAUGGUACAGCAUAUGGAGUCACCUCUCAUGACCAGUGUUUGUGCUGUGGGGGGUAGUACCAGCUUCUACAUAAUGGAACUGUGCAGUUUAGGAGAAUUUCCCCUGAUACUUACCUGUGAGAUGAGAUGGGUGCAGAUUAUGUACCUGUAACGUCCUUGCCGUUGGCCAAGGAGGCCGCCGGAUUUGAGCUCGUCUCCGGUGAGAUUUGAACGGGAGAAGGGGAUCGGUGCGAGAGAAGAGAGAGAGAUGCAGACGCAACCAGAGAGAACAGAGAGGAGAGUAAUUCAAAUUCUAUUUCAACGACACCCCACGGCCAGCUUGUAUACGCUGCCGGCAAUACAGAUGGCCCACGGCCCGCUACACGCACCCAGGCCCACACCGGACGGUCUGCCCAUUCAAAUCGCCCGCCACACUAUACGCCUUUGUCUUCAGAACACGGCCUCCCCCUUGCUUGACCGCCAGUGACAGUAUCUUCAUACUGACAUUUCCCUCUCCUUGAAAACCAGCUGGACCCCAGGCUGGUGCAUCAGGGAAGCGCGCCUUGAUCACCUCGUAGUCCUCCCACGUAGCCGCUGAAUCUGGCACCGAGGUCCACUUGAUCUGCACUUGCAAAUGAGCUGCGUUGCCUUUCUUGACCAGACGUCUGUCUAGUAUCUGUUCUGGAACAACUCCUGGAACUGAUAAAUCCAGAGGUUUGGGCAGCACUGUGAAAACUGGUGUGUGAUCUGGCCCAUGCGAUUUAAGUUGGGAGACGUGGAACACUGGAUGAACCUGGCUUCCUUUCGGUAACUCCAGCUUGUAUGCAGCAGCUCCAAUUUUGGAAAGGACUUUGAAUGGUCCAAAAAAUUUCAGUGCUAACUUAGGACAGGGCCUGUUCACAACUGACGAGCAUAUGGUUGCAGUCUAAGAUACACUUGUUCCCCUUCAGAGAAUUCCCUAGGUGAUCUGUUUUUGUCAGCAUAAUGUUUGUACUUCACUUGUGCUCUGUGUAGAUGUUCUUUCAGUCUGUUCGUGUGUUCUGUCUGAGCAGAGAGCCAGCUAUGCACCUCCCCAUUCAGAGAAGCAUGAUCCCCAGCUAGUUGUCCAAUGUUUGGCUCAUGUCCAUACAGAGCCUUGUAAGGAGUACAACCCAGUGAGGAAUGGAAUGUUGAGUUAUACCAGAAUUCUGCUUGAGGCAACCAACUUUUCCACUUUGCAGGACAAUCAUGAACAACACAUCUCAAAUACAUUUCCAAGCACUGGUUGACUCUUUCUGUCUGACCAUCAGUUUGGGGAUGAUAUGCAGUGCUCAUUUGUAAUUCCGUGCCCCACACCCUGAAUAACUCCUUCCAAAAUGAGCUGGUAAAUAUCUUGUCUCUGUCAGAUAUGAUGGACAGUGGUAGUCCAUGUAAUUUGACCACAUUAUUCAGGAAGGCUUUGGCAACACCAGCAGCAGUGAAAGGGUGUUUGAGAGGUAUGAAGUGGCUCACUUUAGUGAACCUGUCAACAACUACCAAAAUAGAGCUGUAACCUUCUGAUUUGGGUAAACCUUCAAUGAAAUCCAUACUAAUGGAUUGCCAUGGUCCUUCAGGAAUUGGUAAGGGCUGCAACAUACCAGGGGACUUACACAAUUCAUGCUUGGCUUGUUGGCACACUGCACACUGCUUGACAAAAUUUUCAAUAUCUCCUUUCAUACCUUGCCAAUGAAACAAUUGCUUCACUCUGAAAUAUGUUGGAAGAAUUCCUGAGUGACCUCCCACAGGGGAAGAAUGAAAAGCUUGUAUCAGUCUGGUUUUCAGUCCAGUAUUUGCUCCUAUCCAGAUCUGAUCAUCAUGUUUCAGUAGUCCUUUAUGCAACUUGAAACCUGGACAAGCCACAGGAUCUAGGGCUAACUUUUGCAGCAUUUCCUGAGCUUCAGAAUCUACAGUGUAGGAGUUCAGUACUUCCUGUAUCCAGACAGGUUGAGAUGUAGAUACAGCUUGAAUGGGGAACAGAUGAGCCACUCUGGACAAUGCAUCUGCAACAGUGUUCUCAACUUCUUUCUUGUACUGAAUGCUGAACUGCAAUCCCACCAGCUUAGUCAUAGCUUUUCUCUGGAGCUCUGAAGUCAGAAUUUGAUCUCCUAAGUGACAUAAACUCUUGUGAUCUGUUUUAAUUACAAAAGGCCCUCUUGAUAGAUAUGUCCUCCACUUAUCUAUUGCCAUCAUUAUUGCUAGGAACUCCUUUUCAUAGAUAGACAGUUGCUUGUUUUUAAGGCCCAGAGCUUUGCUGUAAAAAGCCACUGGAUGUCCUUGUUGUGUUAAUACAGCUCCUACACCAGAGUCACAAGCAUCUGUUUCCACGCAGAAGGGUUGAUCAAAGUUGGGUAGAACUAGGACAGGAGUAGUAGCCAUUGCUUGUUUUAACUGUUCAAAUGCAGUUUGAGCUUCAAGUGUCCAUUGGAAGGCUUGUUUCUUCAGUAGCAGAGUUAAAGGUUUUGCCAAAAUUCCAUAGUUCUGAACAAACUUCCUAUAAUAUCCAGUUAGACCUAGGAAUCCCCUUAAUUCUGUCACAUUGUUGGGAACUGGCCAACUCAACAUAACAGCAGUUUUGGAGGGAUCAGUGGAUACACCUUUAUCAGAAAUAAUAUGCCCCAAAUACUCUAGAGACUGUUGGCCAAAAGAACAUUUGCUCUCUUUCACAUAAAAAUGAUUUUCCCUUAGUGUAGUGAGAACUUCUCUCAGAUCUUGUAGAUGUUCCUCUAAGGAUAAACUACACACCAGUAUAUCAUCCAUAAACACCAGUACCUUUUUUCUUCCUUUCUUUCGACCAGGAAACAAAAAAUUCAUCAUACAUUGAAAAGUGCCAGGUGAUGUUGCCAGCCCAAAAGGAACUACUCUGAAUUAGAACUGUCCAUGGUGAGUUUUGAAGGCCGUUUUGGGCUCAUCCUCAGGCAACAUUCUGAUCUGGUGGUAGCCAACUCUUAAAUCCAGCUUGGAAAACCAUUUUGCCCCUCCUAGUUCAUCUAACAACUCAUCAAUGACAGGUAAAGGAAACCUGCUUUUAAUUAUGAGAGCAUUCAGCUUUCUAUAAUCCACACAAAAUCGCCAUGAGCCAUCUUUCUUCUUUACUAAUAGCACUGGUGAUGCAAAAGGACUUAAGCUUGGAGUUAUCAGGCCUGCUUUGAGCAUUUCAUCCACUUGCCUUUCAAUUUCUUCCUUCUGUAGAGGAGAAUACCUGUAAGGUCUGCUGUUGACUGGAACAACUCCAGGCACUAAAUUUAUCACAUGAUCUAUGUGUCUGUGAGGGGGCAGUGUUUUAGGAUCACUAAACACAUCAGAAAACUCUUGUAAUACUUCCUUGAUUGGUGCAGUAACAUCAUUGUAUGUCUGUUUCUCCCAAACAGGUUGAAUUAAAGCAACUGCCAUAAUGUCAUUUCCUUUAUCCCAUUUCACCACUUGUUCCACUGGGAUUUCAGUUAACUGAGUUUUUUCUACUGGUAACACUCCUUGUAGUCUCAUAGCUUUUCCUUGGUAGUCAAACUGGAUCCAUUUCUCAGCCCACUGGCAUUGCAUAACUCCCCAUUUCUCUAACCAGUCCAUGCCUAAAAUUAUAUCAUAGCCUCCUAAUUGUAACACCCUCAUUUCAUUAGUGAAAUUGUGGCCUUGUAUCCACCAAGUUAACUGUGGCACACAUUCGGAGCACUGUAGCAGAUCACCAUUUGCCACUUUCACUAACAAGGUUGUAGGCAAGGUUUCAGAUUUCAGUUUAACUCUGUCUAGCAGUGCUUGAUCCACAAAUGUGUGAGUACUGCCUGAGUCUAGCAGUAUCAGCACUACUUGAUUUCCAAUUAAUGCUCUGAACGUAUGGUCUUGGGGUGUGAUGCUCCAGACAGUGCCUGGACAGAUAUAGUGGCACAUUCCUCAGGCUGUUCUUCCAACAAUGCAUCUAACACAGCAUCCGAAAUGAUCUGAUGAGGAUCUACACACUCUGUUGCUUUCAACUGUGCAGUGCUGCUAUUAGUACUGCUGCAAACAUGCCCAGGAGUGUACUUCUCUCCACAGCUAUAACAUAGUCCAUUUGCUCUUCUGUAUUCUUUGAGUUGCCUUGCUUUCCAUAAUUCACUUGGAGCUACCGCAUGUCUGUUAUCCUGUUUAGUAUAUUGCCCUUUUUGGUAGCCAGGCUUGCUCCCUUUUGUUUUCAGCAGUAAUCUCUCUUGCACCAUUGCAUAUAAGGCAGCCUUGUGCACAUUGUCAGGUAGUUGCAUCUCCACCGCUGCAUGCAACUCUUCCUUCAGUCCCAAAAUGAACCGUGUGACUAACAAGGUGUCACUAAGAGCAGGCUCAUACAGUCUGAUAUUAUACACCAGCUGAUAGAACUGAUUUUUGUACUCCUCUACUGUACCUCCUUGUUUUAGCCUCAUCAACUCCUGUAAGAGCUCUCGUGCACAUUUAUGUCGAACUCUUCUGUCACUGCUUCGCAUAAUUGCUGCCAGUUAUGCCAUAUUCCCAUCUGUUUAUAUGAUUGAAACCAAUGUGCGGCAUUGCCCACCAAAUUCAGAGAUGCAGAUGUAACUCUGAAACCUUCAAGAAUGUUGUACAACAGGAAGAAUGACUCGCAUUGGUCAAGCCAUAUUCGCACCCCCGUCCCAUCAAACUUAGGAAAAUCCAUCUUAGGCAUCCAAUUCCUCUUUCCGGUCGCAUCAUCACACAGAACAUGCUCUCCCUGCUCUUCGCGGAUGUAUGGAUUUUCCUUAGGUACCUGAUUAUGGCGAGCCUGGCUGCGCGUGGUUGAUCCCGGAGCCGCUCCGAGCACUCCAUCGCUCUGAAUUGACGGUGGAGUCGAGCGAGGUACUUGCCUCGACGUCUCUACAGUCACUGCGCUCUGCUUGCCGGCCUGCACCUGCUCCUGUUGGACCUUGCCGAGGGUGUCGCAGGACAGGUUGACCUUCACCUGCACCUGGUCCAGACGCUGCGACUGCUCCUCCAUCUUCGCGUCGAGCGCCUCUAGACGCUGGCAGAUCUCGGCCGCUCCGGCGAACUUGCUCUGCUCCGCCCGCAUCGCUGCGAACUCCUUCAAUAUGCGCUCCUGAAACGCCUCCAUCUCCCCGGUGAUGUGUCGCGUUUGCGCGCUGGGCUUGAACUUGGCCGUGGUGCCUCCCUCUGAAGCAACCCACCUCAGGUCAGGAUUUACACCAGUCGAACCCUAGGGUGACCGAAGACCGUCGCCUCGGAAUUUGCUGGGUACGCCCUCGAGGUUGCGGAAGCUAGCCACGGACCGAAGGCUCUGAUACCAGAUUGUAACGUCCUUGCCGUUGGCCAAGGAGGCGCCGGAUUUAAGCUCGUCUCCGGUGAGAUUUGAACGGGAGAAGGGGAUCGGUGCGAGAGAAGAGAGAGAGAUGCAGACGCAACCAGAGAGAACAGAGAGGAGAGUAAUUCAAAUUCUAUUUCAACGAUACCCCGCACGACACCCCACGGCCAGCUUAUAUACGCUGCCGGCAAUACAGACGGCCCACGGCCCGCUACACGCACCCAGGCCCACACCGGACGGUCUGCCCAUUCAAAUCGCCCGCCACACUAUACGCCUUUGUCUUCAGAACACGGGCGCCCCCUUGCUUGACCGCCAGUGACAGUAUCUCCAUACUGACAUGUUUGUGCUGUGGGGGGUAGUACCAGCUUCUACAUAAUGGAACUGUGCAGUUUAGGAGAAUUUCCCCUGAUACUUACCUGUGAGAUGAGAUGGGUGCAGAUUAUGUGCCAUUUUUUUUGGUUGAGAAAAUAUUCCCUUCGUUUGCUUAGGGAACAGCAGAUCCGCUGCUCUCACACCCUUGAAUGCUAACUGGUAGCAGUAGAGCAGCACAGGUGGGGAGGUAGGGCUGGAGAAAUGCCAAGACUGCCAUCUAAUGUGGCGCCACUGCUACGGCGAUAAACAAAGACUGGUACUACGGAUCAGAUUCCGCAACAUAGAAUAGCAACAGCAAACUAGCCCCUAGCGAGGAACUGAUCCUUUUUUUUUU
rnacentral:lncRNA from 1 species